CUUGUGAGUAGCUCAGAAUCUAUUGGGCAUGCUCAGUACGAUUCUGGCAAGCUGAAUACACAGAUUACAUCACUGUAUAAAUGCAGUGAAGCCUGUCUAUUGUGGUCACCCUGUAAAGUAGCCUCCUUCACAAGGCCUCAACAAGGACCUUCUAUAACACAGCCAGGCCACCUCUUUAUUACAACCACUGUUGGGGUGACCACACUAGACAGAUUUCAUUGUACCUUGUUUUGACGAGAGGGUCAGUAGAGCAGUGAGUCCAAGCUCCACCCCCUUCUCAUUCUCCGAGUGGGUCUGGAGAUACUGCAUGACUUCCCCCACACCACUCCCCUCAGGCACAGACUCCACGGGACCUUCACCACCUACGUGUGAGGAGCUGAGCCCCAGGCACUCUUGAGGGUACGGCAGCUUCACCAGAUCCUCAGAUGAUGGUCUUUGCUCAAACGCCCGAAUGAGGCACAUCCGAAUCAGCUUGGUGAGUUGGGGUGAGUAUUGAGAGCUGACCUCCGUUAGAAUGUCCUCCAGUAUGUUGGGGUCGUCCUUGAUCUGGUAGAGGACCACGGAUAUCUGUGCUGACUGUGUGAAUAGUGUGUGUGGUGUGAGGUGUGAGGUGUGGGUGGUGUGAAUAGUGGGAGAGGUCUACCGGCAUGGUAGCCUCGUCCCCAGGCCGAGUUGUUUCUAAAAUAAAUUGGCGACCUUUAGAGACAACUCAGCCUGGGGAAGAGCCUACCUUCAAGGAUAAAAGCAUAGUAACAAUAUCUACACUAUAUGCCUGUAAGCUACAUUCAGAGAUUUCCCUUUUUAUUAUGGAGUCCUAUACAUUCUUCUUGCAAGAUACAUGUGCAUUCGUAUAAAGUAGCACUAGGUACAAAGCCAUGUACAGUGAGUUGAGGCGUACUCACGUCCAUGAAACUGCAGGUGGCCAUCUCAAUAAUCACACAGCCCAGGGACCAGAUAUCAGAACGCUCAUCGUACCUGUUUUACCAGUUAAGGGAAAACUGUACAAAAUUAUUUCACCACUUUAAAAAACCAUGAUUAUUAGUAGCUUGCAAAAUCGGAGCUAUCCCCUCAGCUAUGAGCACUUGAAUGGCUGGCUAAAAUAUCACAUACAGGCUGACUGUUUUUUUGUGUGGUGUACAUAUAAUUAUAAACUCGAUAAAGGACCGCUUCUCCACAUAAAUCUUCCCCUCAAGUAUCACGGAUACUUUGAGUCCAUGUCCAGUAUUUCAGGAGCCACCCAACUCAUAGAGCCUGCACGAGGAGAGCGUCCCUAUAAUGACUUGUUGUUGUAAUGGUAACAUACCAACGGUUGUCCUGGUGAUGGUCCGUAUAUUGCCCAUUACCGUGGCGACUCCAAAGUCUCCAAUAGUAAUGGACAUGUCAUCUUUGAGGAAGACAUUGCUGGGCUUCAAGUCUCUAUAAUAAUAUUAUAGGUAAUUAAAUUAACUUCCUAGGAUUGGCCAAUAAGUACCUCCCCCUCCACACACACACACUUCCCACUCAAACACCCCCCCCACACACACACACACCUGUGAAUGGUCUCCUGACUGUGCAUGUAGUGAAGUGCCUCUAAGAGCUGUCCUAUCCACUUCUUGAGGACCAACUCCUCCAGAGCUAUUCCCUUUUCUCUCUUGGCCUUGAGCACCAUGUCCAGGUCCCCCAUCUUGUAGAAGUCCAUCACAAUGCACACAAAGAUGGCACAGUCCUGCAAUGUUAUAUAUUGCUACCCACUAUCAUUAUAAUAUUAUUACCAAUAAUUAAAGUGAAGAUCCCCAGUUCAAGGAGAAUAUGUUAUGUACAAUGUAUGUGCAACAUGUGCAUGUAUUUCUCAUUAGGAGAACAACAAUUGUGUUUUUAGCAAAUGUCAGUGGAUUAAAAAUAUGUGUGGAAAGAUUCACUUCAGGGCUAGUUCCAUGAUACAAUACUAGUACCUGUGAGUCCCAGAGAAUGAAGAACUCUCUGUAGCCACAGAUGUACUGGUGCUUGAGCUUCUCUAGUGCCACUGCCUGCAUGCAGAGCGUUAUAAUUAACAGCAUUUAACAAGCCAACAUUCAUAGUUCAAGUUGAUUGUCGUGGUUACCACAAGGUGAUAUUGUCUUACCUCUUUGAAGGCUUUGUUAGCUUGAGCUUCAUCGCUGCAUUCCACCUAUAAUAAAUUAGUUAUUUUUUCCUAGGCUCCCAUUAUAGUACAAACAAGCAAACAAUACAAUACAGUACAUCAAGAGUAUGCACUCUUGAAUACAUGUAGAUCUAUUACUGGAUGUGUUUAGUGCAACCUUCUUGAGCACAAGUUUUUGGCCCGUUUCCUUAUCCUCCACCAGAAACACAGACCCCUGAGCUCCUUUGCCCAGUCUCUGCAACACCUACACAGUACAGCAAAACACAGGUACUAUGUAACUAGCAGCAACCAUGCAUUUCAGCACUUGAAUUUUCAGCUACCUAGACAUACAAACAACUGUGAUAUACAUUAUGUUGAGCUGCUUGCAGGCUAGACCAACAUCAUACCUUGUAGUUAUCCAUUGCAACAACCUCUAGGUGGCUUUACGGAUGAGUUUUGCUAGCUUUGUGGUGUGUCUGGACACAGCCUGAAUCCGGCUUCUUACCAAACUUACUUGGUAAAGAUCGCGUGUCACAUAACUUCUACUUGUUAAGUCUCAUAAAUUAGCUAAUUCAGUAUUUAUAUCAUUGCAUUCCAUUGAGAACCACAAUAGGUAACCAAGUGGACACUAAAAAUGAAACUAAAAUGAACGACUGAAUUGAAUGACUAAGUUUAUGAUGAUUAAUUGUUUAUAAUGUCUAUAUAUUCAAUGUCUAUUGUCCUUGCCAUUGAUUGUAUCCAGAGGGCAUGUGCUGUUGCUGCUGUUGAGGGGGCAUUUGAUUGGCGGGAGGUCUAAUGCCCCCCAUAGCCUGUCCUACCCCCCCUGGUCGAUUGUAGCCUCCUUGAUUCAUCUGAGAUUGCAUAUUGUGGCCAAUAGACAUCUGCUGCUGGACCCCCUGCUGAGAACCCCCUGCACAAUGAACGUUUACAACAUUGGUAUAAAAUUAUGGAUUUACAACCCCCCAAAAUGUAGACCAUUUUUUUGAAUCGGACGUUUGCAACACAAGAUAGCUUCGAAAAAGGCCUGGCUUAUAAACAAGUAGCCUAUGCUUUUUUCCAGAAAAUGAAAAAUUUGGGCCUGAAAUAGAUCUAUAAAACCACACCUAUUAUUACUCACAACGAUUAAAAGAGAUAGAAAUUUAGGAAAUUGCAAGCAAAACUAGCAUUAAAACUACUGAGCUUAUGGCUUGUAGUAUAAUAACCGAACUCUUUACGUACUGUACAUUCGUGCAUUUCAUGGAUCAACAUCCCAUACGACAUGACAAUGUAUGCUCCAGUGCAAAUGGAUGAUUACCUACCUCCCAUCAUCUGCAUCCGAGUCUGAAUAAGCUGCUGCUUGUAGUGACCGGCUUUGGACAGCCAUUGCUGUCUUACCUCCAGGGAAACAAUUCCCAUUCGCUGGAAAAGAACCUCUCGUUGCUCUGGUGUCGAAUUGAUCAGUGCCAUUAAAAACUUCUUAACUUUCUCUUGCUUGAAAAGACAUACCAUAAACAGUCAAUAUACAAUGCAUACUAUUAUACACUCACUUGUUGCUGCUGUUGAGUCAUUCCCCCCUGUCCAAACCCGGACUGUGGCUGAGUGGCCCCCUGUCCAAAUCCGGACUGUGGCUGAGUGGCCCCUUGCUGACCCACCAUGUUGCUCGGUCCUGUCUUGCCCAUUACCCCUCCAGCCUGCUGCUGCUGCUGCUGUUGCUGUUGCAUAGUCUGCCCUUGCUGCUGUUGAUUCACGAUUCCUUGCCCUUGUUGACCCAUCAUUCCCGGCUGUGACUGCUGGCCCAUGUGAGACUGUCCCUGCUGCAUGGUUUGACCUUGUUGCUGCUGUACCAUCCCUGGCCCUUGCUGCUGCUGUACUAUACCUCGCUGCGACUAUAAGGAUAUACAGAUAGAACUUCACAUGCAUGUGUACUGUAAUUUGUAUAGAACCUGUUGCUGUCCCAGUAGUCCAAUUUGUUGCUGCUGCUGACUGAUCAUUCCUCCAUUACCGGAUUGUGUUUGCUGCCCCAUUGUACUCCCCUGAUUAAAGCCUUGCUGUUGCUGCUGCCCUUGCCCUGCACGUUGACCCAUAAUCCCUCCUCCGCUUGGCUGUCCUAUCGUAUUAGAGCCUUGGGCCUGAGACAUAGUCGACUGCAUACUCGAUGGUGUAGCGUACGACACAGAAGAUUGCGAAUAGUUCUGUCCCAUCUGAGCUCCACUUUGCUGGAGUCCAGAGGCCUGCUGCUGUUGUUGUAUACCAGGGGGUUGCUGCUGUUGUUGGUGUAUACCAGGGAGUUGCUGCUGUUGGAAGCCUGAGGGUUGCUGCUGUUGUUGUACACCAGGGGGUUGCUGCUGUUGUUGUACACCAGGGGGUUGGGAGGGUUGCUGUUGUUGUUGUGAACCUUGUUGUAUACCAAGGGGUUGUUGCUGUUGUUGUAUACCAGGGGGUUGCUGUUGUUGUAUACCAGGGGGUUGCGAGGGUUGCUGUUGUUGUUGGAUGCUACUCUGUAGGCCACCUUGCUGUAGUUGCUGCUGUUGUUGCUGAAUCUGUGGAGUAAACAUUUAAGUGAAAUCAGAUGGCGCAAGGUGUACCUGUCUGUGUCUUAUCAGUACUUGCUUGAAAACAUUUACAAACUUCUCCUGUAUGGGAAAAACAAACCCGAUCGUUUUAAAUCUGACAGAAAUGUCAGUCAAAGUUAGAGUGUUACCUGCUCCAGUGGUAUUAGUCCAGUGAACUGUUUCAGCUUGUCAUUCCAGACAAGGAUAAGAGCUUUAAUAGGGCAUACUGUGUUGGCCACCACCGGGUGUACUAUUGCAAACUGCACACAUGAAAUAAAAAGUCUGCUGUACAAAAUAUACUUUUGACUUUGAUUAUACAUUGAGAAUUCAGAUUAUAGUAAGUGUACGUGUCACUUGUUCACACACCAUUUUGAUGGGGGCGUCGACAGCCAUGAGUUGACGUAGCACUGAUACAUUCUGGUUUUGAGGGUCUGGAAACACAAAGUUGACUGUCUUGAGGUUUGAAGUGCCCCUGUUGAAGUCCAUUCCAGUCAUGAUUGAGUUCUGCAUUGUACCGUAUAGCGGGUAUAUUUUGAGCGCAUAUUUUAAACUGUUACGGAAAUACCGUUAGAAAGGUUUUAGUGGAUUUAAUUUUCACGGAAUAGCACUCUUGCCUACAAGGUCAGAUAGUCCCUAUAGGUUCUUUCCAAUCUAUCCAGUGUAGCAGCCUUUUUUGCAGUAUGCAUGCAUGCGAUAUUAAAUUCGUGGGUAUAAAUGUUAGUGGUAGAUGCUUAAUCAGUGAAAACCGGGAAAAUGUAUAAUUAUCUCGAAAUAUACCCGCUAUACGGUAUGUUGAACAAACACGCCACGAUACUCUGAUCUAAUUAAAGGGUAUUUCAAAGGGCUACAAAAUAAUAUUUAUGAGCGCUCAAAGUUAAACAGGCCAUUCGGAAAAGUCAAAGGAUGGCUGAACAUAAUAAUGGGAGUGUACUUACCAACAUGGCUUUAGGGUAGGCACUCAUUGUCAUCUUCUUUGGCCAAGUGUUUGGCUGUCUGUAAUGGAGCAUACAGUAAUAGUAACACACUGGUUAAAUACCACCUCCCUACUUACAUUUCUUGAAUAACGUCACUUCUGCUGGUGGUCACGGAACACUGGAUCUGCCUCAUCUGACGCUGGUUCUCGUGCUGUAUAAAAUGUCAAUUCCUCCUCACUAAGAAGGCGGUUACUAACAGAGGAUAUCACUUACAACAUCUGCUACCUCCAUGAUGCCAAUCCAUAUUGUGACUGGCCGCGGCACUUGUUGAAGUGGAGCUUGUAGCUGGCCUUGCAAUGGGAGCCCAGGCUGUGUGUGUGUGUGUGUGUGUGUAUGCGUGUGUGUGUGUCGAGGGAGGAUAAAAAACAGCUAGUUGAACAGAACUUUGUGUACAUGUACAAUCGAUGUACAUGUAUUCGUACAAAAACAAUUUUCACUCUUAAUUGCGUGUAAGCAUCACAUGACGUGUUACUAUACAUGUACAUCAUUAUGUGUAUGACCUGUGCUGGAGUUGGUGCCAGUGUGGGAGGAGGAGCUUGAGGUACAGCACUGGGCACGGACCCAAUGGGAGGAGUGGGAACACGAUGCAAUAUGUCCCCUACCCCACUAACUGUCGGGUUGUUCGUUAUAUUGUUACCAGCAAAAGCAGAUGCCUGGGAGACUUGAGACGGCUGAACCAUCACACUGUGGUUGGGUUGCACUCCUGGGGCCACCUGAACAAAGCCAAAUGAGUUAGAAUUAUGUUGAACUACAUGCACUUGAGUGUUUAGCAGGGAACUAUUAGUUCUAGUUUUCUAGACUGCUUGAAAAUCAAUAUGUAAUGUUGCUACAUGCAGCUCUAGUUAGCCAAUGAAAGGUGGAGUCUAAAUCAAUUGACGUAGAAUAGUUAUAAUAGAAUCUGCACACACACACACACACACACACACACACACACACACACACACACACACACACACACACACACACACACACACACACACACACACACACACACACACACACACACACACA